UACGUAGGGGGCAAGCGUUGUCCGGAUUUACUGGGCGUAAAGAGCGUGUAGGCGGCCACGCAGGUCCGUUGUGAAAACUGGAGGCUCAACUUCCAGCCGUCGACGGAAACCGUGUGGCUAGAGUCCGGAAGAGGAGAGUGGAAUUCCUGGUGUAGCGGUGAAAUGCGCAGAUAUCAGGAAGAACACCCGUGGCUAAGGCGGCUCUCUAGUACGGUACUGACGCUGAGACGCGAAAGCGUGGGGAGCGAACAGG
rnacentral:rRNA from 1 species